UACGUAGGGUGCGAGCGUUAAUCGGAAUUACUGGGCGUAAAGCGCACGUAGGCGGAUCGAUCAGUCAGGGGUGAAAUCCCAGAGCUCAACUCUGGAACUGCCUUUGAUACUGUCGAUCUGGAGUAUGGAAGAGGUGAGUGGAAUUCCGAGUGUAGAGGUGAAAUUCGUAGAUAUUCGGAGGAACACCAGUGGCGAAGGCGGCUCACUGGUCCAUUACUGACGCUGAGGUGCGAAAGCGUGGGGAGCAAACAGG
rnacentral:rRNA from 1 species